rnacentral:lncRNA from 1 species
GGACCACCAGAAAGAGCUAUCCUGAGAGGAAGGAUCUGCGCCUGCGCCGAGGCCAGAAAGGCUGAGACAGGGCUCCUAAAUGGAAAGGCACUCUCAGCCAGAUGGAGUUUAGCUGAGUGCAGAGGAUUUAUGAGAACACAAUAGCACAGAUUGCUGAAGGACAGAACGGUCGGAGUGGGACUAGGAGCCUGGAGCGGGGGCGGGGACUUGAACAUUCCAGGCUCUGUGAACUAAGUGACUGAAGCUGAUUGACACAGGUCAAGGGGACUUCAAGGAAGAAAGCCAGCCUUAGACUGACAUCAGAGAACCAAACUCCGGUGUCUAAGCUCAAGCCUUGCGUGGAUGAAACAGUCCCAACGAACACUUUAAAAAGACAAAUGUUCCCGACAGCACUGGUUGAAUUCAAAACUCGGCAGAUCCAUGUUCUUAUCCUUAGACAAGAGAGGGGCCAUAACAAGAUGGAAUGACGGAACAGACGUGAGAGAUGAUGGUACAGUGACUCGGGUAACCCCAGAAAAGGGACAGCUCUUCUACAGCUCAGUGGGGACAGGGACAAAAAGAAACAAUUUCAUUUCAGUCCACCCAGAGGGUCUGCACUUCUCGGAGCCAGAAGGUGGAGAAGAGUAGGGAUGGAGGAAGUUCGAAGUUUUAGGAGUCUGCUCUUGGGUCCCUAGGCAUGAGGACAAGCUUUUCCUGUACUCAAUGCUCAUCUCUCAGUUGUGCCCACAUUGGUACACAUUACUUGCUUUCAACUGCUGCUGCUGCUGUUUCCUAAUUCAAUAAAGAUAUGGCUGGCUCAGCAGAGAGCUGUCAUCCA